AACAGGAUUAGAUACCCUGGUAGUCCACGCCGUAAAACGAUGUCGACCAGCCGUUGGGUGCCUAGCGCACUUUGUGGCGAAGUUAACGCGAUAAGUCGACCGCCUGGGGAGUACGGCCGCAAGGUUAAAACUCAAAUGAAUUGACGGGGGCCCCGCACAAGCGGUGGAGCAUGUGGUUUAAUUCGAUGCAACGCGAAGAACCUUUACCUACUCUUGACAUCCUGCGAAUUCGGUAGAGAUACCUUAGUGCCUUCGGGAACGCAGAGACAGGUGCUGCAUGGCUGUCGUCAGCUCGUGUUGUGAAAUGUUGGGUUAAGUCCCGUAACGAGCGCAACCCUUGUCCUUAUUUGCCAGCACGUAAUGGUGGGAACUCUAAGGAGACUGCCGGUGACAAACCGGAGGAAGGUGGGGACGACGUCAAGUCAUCAUGGCCCUUACGGGUAGGGCUACACACGUGCUACAAUGGCCGGUACAAAGGGUUGCCAACUCGCGAGAGUGAGCUAAUCCCGAAAAGCCGGUCUCAGUCCGGAUCGGAGUCUGCAACUCGACUCCGUGAAGUCGGAAUCGCUAGUAAUCGUGAAUCAGAAUGUCACGGUGAAUACGUUCCCGGGCCUUGUACACACCGCCCGUCACACCAUGGGAGUGGACUGCACCAGAAGUGGUUAGCCUAACGCAAGAGGGCGAUCACCACGGUGUGGUUCAUGACUGGGGUGAAGUCGUAACAAGGUAACC
rnacentral:rRNA from 1 species